rnacentral:rRNA from 1 species
GAAUACUACUACAAAUACUGUUAGACGGAUAGCUUGGUUUUGGUAAAGAUGAAGGACGUGGCAAGCUGCGAUAAGCUUGGGGGAGUUGCAUGCAAACUUUGAUCCCAAGAUCUCCGAUUGUCCUGAGAAGGGCAAAUACGCCGGGAAUUGAAACAUCUUAGUACCGGCAGGAAAAGAAAAUAAAUAAUGAUGCUCUUAGUAGCAGCGAGCGAAAAGGGCAUAGGGCAAACUGAAUCUCCUUGCGAAAGUGAGGCAGAGAUGUGGUGAAAACUUAGCCUAAGGAAUUGAAUCGAAGUUGGCUGGAACGCCAUACUUUAGAAGGUGAUAGUCCUGUAGAUGAAAAAUCUAUGGCAGGUUUCAAAAGAGUAGGGCCUCUCGAAUUAGAGGUCUGAAUAUAGCAGGAUUAACUGCUAACCCUAAAUAUAACCAAAGUCCGAUAGCGCACUAGUACCGCGAGGGAAAGCUGAAAAGUACUCUUAACAGAGGGUUAAAAGACUUGAAAUCUAACAGUUACAGAUUGUUACUGCUCUGCUCAGCAAUGAUGCGGGAGUUGUAACGUACGUUUCGAAGAACGGGCCAGGGAGUUUACUUAUGUGGCAAGACUAACUUUUUUAAAAAGGUAAUCGAAGCGAAAGCGAGUCUGAAAAGGCGCGAGUCACAUGGGUAUGACCUGAAGCCAGAUGAUCUAUUCGUGGGCAAGGUGAAGUCUCCCGAAAGGGGGAUGGAGGCCUGAACCAGUGUUGUGUACAUGCACUUGAAUGAUCUGCGAAUAGGGGUGAAAAGCCUAUCUAAUCUGGCGAUGGCUGGUUCCUGUUGAAAUAUGCCUUCGUAUAGUCUUGUCUUUCUUGUUUAUGGAGUAUAGUACAGAUAAAAUUUGCAGGAGCAAAUGCUUACGAAAUUUUUUCUAACUCAGAAACUGUAAACUGAAUAAGACAGGAAACCGGGGCAGUGCGUAAGGCACUGUUCCGAGACCAAAACAAUGGAGACUGAAGUUAAGGUCCAUAAAUUCAUACUAAGUGUAUCAAAAGGUGUCUUGAACCUGAGACAGUAGGGAUGUAAGCUCAGAAGCAGCUAUCAUUUAAAGAAAGCGUAACAGCUCACCUAUCGAGGUCCAGGGCCCUGAAAAUGGACAGGGCUAAGUAUGAUACCGAUACUUCAGAGGUGCUCAUUUUAAAAUCGUACUGAGGAAAUUUUGUUAACAAAAUUUUCAGUGUAGAAAAGUUUAAAUAGUGGGAAAAAAUUGAAAGAUUAUGAAAAGUAAAUCAUCUUUGCAAACAACCUUGGAAGCAGAGGGAUGGGAAUUUUUGACUAAUAAUGAUAGAUAUAAUGGUAAAUACUGGGACCCAGAUCCUAAAAAAAAUGAUUUUGCUAUAAUAUCUGCUUUUAAAGAUAGAGGAUUUAAAGAAGUAAAAGUAACUGAUGCUUAUGAUAUUAAUGGAAGACCUAUCAAUUACAUGCAAGCCAUCUAUGUGAAAAGAUAACCACUUCAAAUUCACAAAUCAUAUUCAAUUUUUUCUCAGUACGAUACAGAGCAUUCUGGUAAGCAGGCGUGGUUUUUGUGCAGAAGUUUCUGCGAGAGCAGGAAUGGAACAAAUACCAAUGAGGAUCCUGGUGGUAGUAGGAUGUGAUUUUCCUGAGAAUGGAAAACGUCGAAAGAGCAAGGUUUCCUUGGCAAUAUAUGUUAGCCAAGGGUUAGUCAGUACCUAAGUUGUGCCUUAACUGAGUACAACGAUGGAUGUCAGGUUAAUAUUCCUGAACUAAUUGAGCUUUACAUAGCAUAACUCGCUUUCGGAUAAGUGAAUAUCUGGGAAGAUAUUUUAGUAGAGAAAUUUGUCGAGGGUAAUCCAUAGACACAAAUGAAUUUGCUAAACAAAAUCGCUGAGUCCAAGAGCCAGUGAAAAGGUUAUGCUCUUAGCUUAAUUAACUGUACCCACAACCGGCACUGGUGCUCUAGCUGAGAAGGCUAAGACGUGAAAGGUUAAACUGGUUAAGGGAAUUCGGCAUAUUGGCCCUGUAGCUUCGGCUGAAGGGGUGUCUAUCUUUGUGAUUUUCAGAAAUGUUUGUUGCAUUGGUAGAUCUCAGUAACAAGGACGGCCCGACUGUUUACCAAAAACGUAGCCACGUGCUAACCCGAAAGGACUUGUAUACGUGGUGAGACCUGCCCAGUGGUGGUGUCUAAAACUCCUUUUCAAGGGAGCUAAGGCCCAUUAAACGGCGGGGGUAACUAUGACCCUCUUAAGGUAAAAAUUAUGUUGCCUUACGGUUUUCUCGUCGAUAAAACGAGGAAAACGCUUCAAGGGGUAUAGAAAGUAAAUAGUCAAAGAUAAUUAAGUUACAGGAUUAGAUUAAACCAAAAAAUUGAAGAAAAUUGAGCUAUAUGCUGGAAAAUCCGAGAAUCCGACAGUACUUUGAUAAUUUGCACUCACAAAAGUUAGUUAGAUUGAUUGAAAGGUUAAUAAUAAAAAUGAUUUAUUAACAAUUAGAUUAAUUCGAGCGAACAUCGUGAGCGAAACAUAUUAUAAAAGUAAAAAUCUGUUCGGUGCGGACAAUCAGCAGGAAAGAUUUCUCAUUAAUUUGAGAAAAAUCCUCAGAGACUAUAUGCUCAAAAUAAUUUAACAAUUAUUAAGAUAUAGUCCGAACUUUACAGCGAUGUAAAGAUGUUGUUAGAAAUAACAAUUCGCUGUUAUUAAACUUGCCUCGCUAAGCUCGAAAUAAAAAGUUGUUAAUAAUAAAACAAUAAAAUUUUGAACUAUUAAUAAUUUAAAUAAAUUCGAACAAAGAAAGUGAGCGUAAUACCUUGUCGUCUGAAUGGCGACUUGCAUGAAUGGUUUAACGAGGUUGUCACUGUCCCUAACCAGAACCUUCUGAACACACUUCGUGGCGAAAAUGCCACGGACACCUAGUGGGAAGCGAAGACCUUGUGGACCUUUACUGCAACUUGUUGUUGUGAUUUUAACGAAGAUGCAUAGAAUAAGUAGGAGCGUCGAAGUCCUUAUUUAGGUAAGGAUGGAGCGAAAAGUGUAAUACUACUCAUCUUUUUUAGACUUGCUAACCCUUUAGGGAACAGCAGCAGGCGGGCAGUUUGGCUGGGGCGGCGCCCUGUCGAAAAGAUAUCGAUAGGACCCAAAGAUAAGCUCAUCCAGCUUGGAAAUCUGGAGUUGAGUGCGAAGGCAAAAGCUUAUCUGACUGUAUUUUGAACAGCAAGAAAUGCAGGUACGAAAGUAGGGCUUAGUGAACCCACGUGCUUUUUUAAUAGAAGCCGUGUCUGAUAGAAAAGGUACCCCAAGGAUAACAGGCUUGUCGCGCCCGAUAGUCCGUAUUGACGGCGCGGUUUGGUACAUCGCUGUCGGCUCUCCCUAUCCUGCGCGUGCAGAAGCGUGCAAGGGUGUCGGAGUUCACGCAUUAAAAGGGAUCGU